rnacentral:tRNA from 1 species
GUUAUUUUGGCAGAUUAGUGCUAUAGAUUUAGAAUCUUUAUAUGUAAAAUUUUUACAAAUAAUA